UGGUGGAGUGAUUUGUCUGCUUAAUUGCGAUAACGAACGAGACCUUAACCUGCUAAAUAGCCCGGCCAGCUCUGGCUGGUCGCCGGCUUCUUAGAGGGACUAUCGGCUCAAGCCGAUGGAAGUUUGAGGCAAUAACA
rnacentral:rRNA from 1 species